rnacentral:misc_RNA from 1 species
AAUGCGAUAAGUAAUGUGAAUUGCAGAAUUCAGUGAAUCAUCGAAUCUUUGAACGCACCUUGCGCUCCUUGGUAUUCCUUGGAGCAUGCCUGUUUGAAUAUCAUGAAAUCUUCAAAGUAAAUCUUUUGUUAACUCAAUUGGUUUCUACUUUGGUAUUGGAGGUCUUUGCAGCUUCACACCUGCUCCUCUUUGUUCAUUAGCUGGAUCUCAGUGUUAUGCUUGGUUCCACUCGGCGUGAUAAGUUAUCUAUCGCUGAGGACACUGUAAAAGGUGGCCAAGGUAAAUGCAGAUGAACCGCUUCUAAUAGUCCAUUGACUUGGACAAUACUUUUAUGAUCUGAUCUCAAAUCAGGUAGGACUACCCGCUGAACUUAAGC